rnacentral:rRNA from 1 species
GACGAACGCUGGCGGCGUGCUUAACACAUGCAAGUCGAACGGAAAGGCCCUGCUUUUGUGGGGUGCUCGAGUGGCGAACGGGUGAGUAACACGUGAGUAACCUGCCCUUGACUUUGGGAUAACUUCAGGAAACUGGGGCUAAUACCGGAUAGGAGCUCCUGCUGCAUGGUGGGGGUUGGAAAGUUUCGGCGGUUGGGGAUGGACUCGCGGCUUAUCAGCUUGUUGGUGGGGUAGUGGCUUACCAAGGCUUUGACGGGUAGCCGGCCUGAGAGGGUGACCGGCCACAUUGCGACUGAGAGACGGCGCAGACUCCUACGUGAGGCAGCAGUGGGGAAUAUUGCACAAUGGGCGGAAGCCUGAUGCAGCAACGCCGCGUGCGGGAUGAUGGCCUUCGGGUUGUAAACCGCUUUCGCCUGUGACGAAGCGUGAGUGACGGUAAUGGGUAAAGAAGCACCGGCUAACUACGUG